UACGUAGGGUGCAAGCGUUGUCCGGAAUUAUUGGGCGUAAAGAGCUCGUAGGCGGCUUGGCAAGUCGGAUGUGAAAACUCCAGGCUCAACCUGGAGCCGCCAUUCGAUACUGCUAUGGCUAGAGUCCGGUAGGGGAGUGUGGAAUUCCCGGUGUAGCGGUGAAAUGCGCAGAUAUCGGGAGGAACACCGAUGGCGAAGGCAGCACUCUGGGCCGGCACUGACGCUGAGGAGCGAAAGCGUGGGGAGCGAACAGG
rnacentral:rRNA from 1 species